AGGGGGACUCACCGUCUUACCAAACCUAACCAAACUCCGAAUACCGAGGAGUACUGCGUGGCAGACACACUAUGGGUGCUAAGGUCCAUAGUGGAGAGGGAAACAGCCCUAACCGCCAGUUAAGGUCCCCAAAUUAUUGCUAAGUUGAAAAGGAUGUGGAACGUCCAAAACAGCCAGGAGGUUGGCUUAGAAGCAGCCAUCCUUUAAAGAAAGCGUAACAGCUCACUGGUCUAAUUAAGAUGUUCUGUGCCGAAAAUGUAACGGGGAUUAAGCAAUAUACCGAAACUGCGGGUGCUAUUUAUAGCGCGGUAGCGGAGCGUUCCGUAAGCCUGUGAAGGAUAACCGUGAGGUUAUUUGGAGGUAUCGGAAGUGAGAAUGCUGACAUGAGUAACGAUAAAGAGUGUGAGAAACACUCUCGCCGAAAGUCCAAGGGUUCCUGCUUAAAGUUAAUCUGAGCAGGGUUAGCCGGCCCCUAACGCGAGGGCGAAAGCCGUAGUGGAUGGGAAUGAGGUUAAUAUUCCUCAGCCAGUUGGUAGUGACGGAUUUGGUAACCUGUAUUUUCUUAUUGGAUUGAGAAUGCAGCGAACAAGUUCCAGGAAAUAGCUCCAACAUUACUGACCGUACCCCAAACCGACACAGGUGGACGAGUAGAGAAUACUAAGGCGCUUGAGAGAACUAUGUUGAAGGAACUCGGCAAAAUACCUCCGUAACUUCGGGAGAAGGAGGCCCGGUCUUAAGGCAACUUUUGGUCGGGGGCACAAAAUUGGGGGUGGCGACUGUUUACUAAAAACACAGGACUCUGCGAAGCCGCAAGGCGACGUAUAGGGUCUGACGCCUGCCCGGUGCUGGAAGGUUAAGAGGAGGAGUGCAAGCUCUGAAUUGAAGCCCCAGUAAACGGCGGCCGUAACUAUAACGGUCCUAAGGUAGCGAAAUUCCUUGUCGGGUAAGUUCCGACCUGCACGAAUGGCGUAACGACUUCCCCGCUGUCUCCAACAUAGACUCAGUGAAAUUGAAUUUCCCGUGAAGAUGCGGGAUAACUGCGGUUAGACGGAAAGACCCCGUGCACCUUUACUACAGCUUUGCAGUGAUAUUAGUGAUGCUAUGUGUAGGAUAGGUGGGAGGCUUUGAAGCAUUAGCGCCAGUUAGUGUGGAGCCAUCCUUGAAAUACCACCCUUAUCCUUAUUGAUAUCUAACCGCGGUCCAUGAAACUGGAUCCGGGACCCUGCAUGGUGGGUAGUUUGACUGGGGCGGUCGCCUCCCAAAGAGUAACGGAGGCGCGCGAAGGUAGGCUCAGGCCGGUCGGAAAUCGGUCGUCGAGUGCAAUGGCAUAAGCCUGCCUGACUGCGAGACUGACAAGUCGAGCAGAGACGAAAGUCGGUCAUAGUGAUCC
rnacentral:rRNA from 1 species